rnacentral:rRNA from 1 species
AAAUUGAAGAGUUUGAUCAUGGCUCAGAUUGAACGCUGGCGGCAGGCCUAACACAUGCAAGUCGAGCGGCAGCGGGAAAGUAGCUUGCUACUUUUGCCGGCGAGCGGCGGACGGGUGAGUAAUGCCUGGGGAUCUGCCCAGUCGAGGGGGAUAACAGUUGGAAACGACUGCUAAUACCGCAUACGCCCUACGGGGGAAAGGAGGGGACCUUCGGACCUUUCGCGAUUGGAUGAACCCAGGUGGGAUUAGCUAGUUGGUGAGGUAAUGGCUCACCAAGGCGACGAUCCCUAGCUGGUCUGAGAGGAUGAUCAGCCACACUGGAACUGAGACACGGUCCAGACUCCUACGGGAGGCAGCAGUGGGGAAUAUUGCACAAUGGGGGAAACCCUGAUGCAGCCAUGCCGCGUGUGUGAAGAAGGCCUUCGGGUUGUAAAGCACUUUCAGCGAGGAGGAAAGGUUGGUAGCUAAUAACUGCCAGCUGUGACGUUACUCGCAGAAGAAGCACCGGCUAACUC